rnacentral:rRNA from 1 species
UACGGAGGGUGCAAGCGUUAUCCGGAUUUAUUGGGUUUAAAGGGUGAGUAGGCGGGAUUAUAAGUCAGUGGUGAAAUCUUGCAGCUUAACUGUAAAAUUGCCAUUGAUACUGUAGUUCUUGAAUACAGUUGAGGUAGGCGGAAUGUGUAAUGUAGCGGUGAAAUGCGUAGAUAUUACACAGAACUCCAAUUGCGAAGGCAGCUUACUAAAUUGUCAUUGACGCUGAGGCACGAAAGCGUGGGGAGCAAACAGG